AGGAUUUACAGUAUGGUUAUAAACUUGGCUGGAGAAGAUCACGUUCUUUCCCUUUUAUCCAUUUUCCUUUUAUCUGCUAUUGACGUUUAACUGCUUCUCUAUUAUAGUGUCACCUGUCUCUGUCACUCAGAUCCGUAUGUACGGACGUAUCAGAACCCCCUCCAUGCCAGACGACCAUUUAAUUUCCCCGGCAUACAUGCUAAUAGGGCUGCGAAGUGAUUGGACCAACUAUUCUCUUUCACAUCAUAUCGCCAAGCUGGGUUAUCUUCUGUUGGGCCCGUGCUCACGGUUGAUCCGGCCUGUCCCAUAUAUCCGGGUUAGGGCUUGCAGUGUUAGAUCGGUCUGCUUGAGGAUGGCAUGGCC
rnacentral:lncRNA from 1 species